AGCAAAUCUUUUCAGACUAAUUCAUUACUGACUAUUCAAACUAAUACCAUGAAAAUGACAGCUCAUUUUUCUAUCUAAAGACUAUAUUUAUACAGUCUAUUAUUAUAUCAUAUAGUCUAUUGUUAUAUCUAUCCAUCACUGGUCUAUUAUAUCUAGUCUAUUAUUAUAUCGAUUACAGUCUACUUAUUAUUAUUAUUAGAUAUGUUUAUCUAUUACUAUAUAGUCUAUAUAAGGAGUACAGACCUUUUUCCUUAUAAUCCCUGUCAUAUAAAUAAUAUUAUCCCAUUUUGCAGAUUGAAUCUCAGAGAAGCUAAAUUACUUUCAGGGUCACAUAGUCAAUGCAGACUCAGAUCUUUCAAGUCCGAGUUCUGAAUUCUUUCCAGUAUACUAUGACUAAUACAUUGAGUGUUGAAGCAUCUUGGGAGAUGCCGACCAAGCUGAGCCUGAACCACCAGUCCCUAGAAACCUAUGAUAGGAUGGUUACCAAUCCUGACAGCUGAGCCAAGGAGGAGACGACAAGUAGGUUGAACUGUUAAAAAAAUUUAUUAAAAUGUCCAAGAGAGCACACCAAUGCACAGUGUCAGAUACCACAGGCCUACGGAACACUGUAGUCACAGCAAAACCAGCUGAGUCCAAAGAGAAAGGGAAGAUGGGUAGGCAAAUAAUCAUGAAUAUCUUUUCCCGGCCUCAUUUAAAUGUAGAAAAGGCUUUGAAUGGAAACUUAUGGACUCUCCUGGAAGAAAAGGACAAAACCAGCACCAGACUGUGGCUCGAUAGGACCACUUUAGAGACUGAACGACAGUUCAUGUUCAUAGCAGGAAAAAAUAAAGAGAAAAAUUCCAAAUUAGGGUCCUGUUUGAACAUCUAUUGUCAAGUUUCAGAAGUGGGGACUAUGUCUUAUUUUUCUUUGUCUCCCCUUAGUGCUAAGUAUCAUGACCCCCAUCCCUUCUGCACUCCCCCCUCCCCCAUCGUUUAACAAAUGCCCCAUCUUCCUGAGAGCCUAUUACCACCUGUGAUAAAAGCAUUGUUUAAAUUCUCACAGCAGGAACCCAGGCUCAGUUGAAACUCUCCCCCUAUUAAAACUUAUGAUCAAAGCCUACUCUUUCAUUUACAAUUUUUUAAAAAUGAUUUUUUUAAAAACUAGGAAAUAUAUACAGAACCCAGAAUACUGGAUUUGCUCCUUGUUCUUAUCAGCUUAGGGCGAUGAUCCUAUGUUUGGUCUUUCAGCCAUAAUAUACCCUGUAUUGUCUGGGACUCAGGCAGCAGACUGGGCUUGUCCUCCACUGACUCCACUAGGCUCAAUGAGGACUAUGUCCCAGACUGUGGUACUAAGACUUGUCACUUCACACUGGGUACAAUUCACUGUUCUGCUUGUUAUGGUUCUGAGCUAAAAAUAGGAACGGGGUCUGGGAAGGGAAAGGGCUUCUCUGGACUGGGAGAAACACUCAUUCUUUCUCACAUCUUUGUUUUAAAAAACAAACAAAAAACCUGUUUUAAAAAAAGUGUGUGUGUGUUUGUGUUUUUUUUUUUUUUUUUUUUUUAAUACUGCAAACCUUUCUACAAUACGAUCACAGGUGGGUGUUGCUACUUUGAGUUUUAUGCAUUUCUAUUCAACCAGCCAGCCGCUGGAAAUGGGCACAAGGUGGGAGGGGGAAAUUGGAGAGAGUUGUGGGGUGGGGAAUGGGGAAUGGCUAGAGAGGAGAUAAGGAAGAGCUUAGGGUGAAGAUAUAGUCUGGGAGACUAUUAAUGCCUGAGCUAUGGAGGAAUGGGGGUAGAGGUGUAGACAAACUGGCCCCUUCCUCAGACUGGCAAGGAGCUUCAAGGCCUGGCUAGCUGUCCAGAUCCCCUAGGUCUGGCAUCUUGAAGACAAGAGGUAUGAAGGAACCAGAGCCUUGCCAGUCCAAGUCAUCCUGUUAUCCUGCCAAGCAAAGAGUCUUAGAAUCAUAGAAUCAUAAAAACUCAGAAUCACAGAACCUUAGAAUCAAAGAUUCUUCGAUAAUAUGAAUAAUAGAUUCUGCCAAUCACAGAGUCUGAGAAUCAGAGAAUCUCAGAAUCAUGGAAUCUUUACAUGUCACACAGAAUUUUAGUAUCCGAGUUGUAGAAUCUCAGAGUUGGAAGGGAUUUUAAAGUCCAUCUAAUCCAACCUCCUUCCAUCACCUGUCAUAUUGCUCUGAAUAUAGGUCAACCCUGACUAUAAAUUGACCCCACUCCCAUAACAUUCUAAAAGUAUCGUCCCAUCCUAGUUAAAGGUUAAGCGUUUUUGAGUAACUGAGUGGGUAUGGAUAUGGAUAGUGGUAUACUACAAGAAUUGAGAGGUUGUGAUUAAAAAACUGUUAAAUCUUAUAUUCAGACCAAAAUAAGAUACACACACAUGUAGGUGUGUAGAUGUGUGUCUGUCAUGUCAUAAAAAUCUAACAGUUAAUGUCCAUGAUGAGGGAGAACAAUCAAAGUCAUGUACACAUUUUUGUCAUCCUUCUUUUCUCAAGAAUAAUCAUUUUAGGUAAAGUUUCAGCUCUGACUAGGCCACUGGCACAAUAGUGCGUUAGCUAUUCUUGGUUCCCAAAGUGGGAAAAAAAAUUCUCGAAAGUAAAUUCAAAUGUAUUUUCAUGUGCCAAAUUCCCUUACUACAAAUAAACAAUCAGCCUUGUGAACAGAAGGUUAAACCAAAGCAUAAUAUACCCUUUCUGAUUGUUCUUCUUUUGAUUAGGACAUUACACCAAAGGUCUGUUGUAGAUCAGACCAUGCUUCAAAUACAUGGGAGAACCUUGUGGGAGUGAGAAACAGGGAUGGAGAGGGCUUUUUACAAAGGAGAUUGGGAAAGAGCGAGGGUUCUGUCAGAGUGGGAAUUGGGGUUGUGCUUCUUAUGCCUUAGCCCUUCAGCAGAAGUUGUCUUCCUCCUCCUUCUCCCAGUCCAUCUUGGGAUGCUUCUUGUGUUUUCUCCGUUCCUUGUGGGAUUUAUGGUGAUGAUGCUGGUGGUGAUGCUGCUGGUGGUGGUGGUGAUGGCGCCGUAGGCGGUGUGACCUACGAGCUACAGGGAGAGAGAAACAAAUAUGGGCAAAAUUCUUUACUUCAAACCUUAUAAAUUUAGACUCCUUGAUUAUUCACAUGGGGGUAGCCUGAAGUUAACUUUUGCUCUGUAUGGGAAAAAGAGUUGUUAGUGAAUAAGGUAAGUUAAAUACAUAUUACCCUCCUCCCUUCAUCCCACUGUCUCAUAUGAUUGAAAAAAUAUUUAAUUGAAAGGGGAACAUUUAGCCUUUGUUGUUCAUUUAACUGUUUUUCAAUUGUGUCCAACUCUUCAUGACCUCAUUUGUGUUUUGUUUUGUUUUGUUUUUGGCAAAAAUACUGUUCAUUUUACAGAUAAGGAAAAUAACAAAUACAGUUAAGUGACUGGCCUGUGGUCACACAGCUAGUGAGUUUUGAACUCAGGAAGAUGCAUUAAUAAUAGCCCCUAGUGUUAUUUCAGGAAAGUGGUUAGAUAUUGGUGUUUUAGUUCUUGCCGCUGUUGUCUAAGGUAGGCCACUAAACUUCUCAGGACCUAGUUCCUCAUCUUCUUUUCCUAUGAGGAAUGGGUGCCUAAGUCUUUGUUUCAAGAAAAAUGUUGGAGUCAUUAAAAGU
rnacentral:lncRNA from 1 species